UACGGGGGGUGCAAGCGUUGUCCGGAAUCAUUGGGCGUAAAGCGUUCGUAGGCGGCAAGGUAAGUCUGAUGUUAAAGCCCGGGGCUCAACUCCGGGACUGCUUUUGAAACUGUGUUGCUAGAUUGCAGGAGAGGUAAGUGGAAUUCCUAGUGUAGCGGUGAAAUGCGUAGAUAUUAGGAGGAACACCAGUGGCGAAGGCGGCUUACUGGACUGUAAAUGACGCUGAGGCUCGAAAGCGUGGGGAGCAAACAGG
rnacentral:rRNA from 1 species